rnacentral:rRNA from 1 species
UACAGAGGGUGCGAGCGUUGUCCGGAAUCACUGGGCGUAAAGGGCGCGUAGGCGGCGCGGGAAGUCAUCGGUGAAAGUUCAGGGCUCAACUCUGAAUCGGCCGGUGAUACUCUCGUGCUCGAGCACUGUAGAGGCAGGUGGAAUUCCGGGUGUAGCGGUGGAAUGCGUAGAGAUCCGGAAGAACACCGGUGGCGAAGGCGGCCUGCUGGGCAGUAGCUGACGCUGAUGCGCGACAGCGUGGGGAGCAAACAGG